AUGGGGUCCCGCCGGAGUGACAAGCCCCCCAUGUCUCCACCGAUCCCGGCGACGGAGCGCCAGCGUGAAAAGGAUCUGCGGGCGAAGGCGCUCGCCAAGGUGCCAGCGUCGCCAGCGGAGGAUGGGGGCUGGGGGCCGCCGCCUCCAUGGUGGAUCGCGGAGCAGGAGCGGAAGAAGGACGAGGAGCGCGAGCGAAAGAAGAGGAAGAAGGAGGAGUACCGGCGGCGGGGACUUGAGCAGAAGAAGGAGCUCAAGCGGAAGGAGUCCCAACUCCCUCCGGGCGGCGAGCGGGCCGGGGUUCCGCAGGCCAAGAAGCCGAAGCAUAAAGGGGGCGGCUCGGCGCCGCUGCAGUUGGCGACUGGCCCCGAGGCGUCUAAGGGAUCGGCGGACGCCCCGAUCCCCGUGGAAGAGGCCGACGGGCCGGAGUGUUUCAAGUGCGGCAGGGUGGGGCACUACCAGAACAUGUGCUCCUUCAAACCCCUGUGUGUCGUCUGCCACGAGGAAGGACAUGCGUCUGCCUACUGUCCCACGAGGGGGAGGCCCCUGGCGCUGCAGAUCAUGGGCAACGCUAUUCCGGGCGAAGGCUUCUUCUGCCUCCCUUUCGUGGACACGGAGGGGGAGGAGGUUCGUGCCCCUCUCGUCUUGGAUACGGCGAUCAUUUCGGCGGCGCCGGGCAAGCUUUCCAUCCCCAUCCUGGAGGCGGAACUCCCUCACCUUUUCGAAGGGGAGUGGGACUGGCAAGUCUCGGUCGUCGGAGCCGACCAGUUCUCGGUCGUCCUCCCAGACAAGGCCAUGCUAAGGAUGGCAACCCGCAGCGGCAAGCUCUACUUCUCCCUCCACGACAUCAUGGCGGACAUCAAGGAGGCGCGUCCAGAGGAGCCCACGGCCGAGCUCAUGCCGUACACCUGGGUCAAGCUGUGGGGCGUGCCACUCAAGCACCGCCACGUGGAUCGCCUCAUGGUAGCCACUGUGAUGAUUGGACGCCCGAUGGAGGUGGAUCUGGCGUCGCUGUCUGGCCUGGGUCCGGUGCGGAUGCGUUUCGCGUGUCGUGCCCCGGCCAAGCUCAAAGGAUACGUGCAGAUCUGGUUUAACAGUGAGGGGUACACCUUCCGCCUUGAGGCAGAAGCGGGCACUCAGCAGGACACGGCUCCAACCCCCCCUCCCCCUUCGCCAUCUGACCUUGACAAGGGCCAGGAAGACAAGGACAAGGACAAGGACAAGGACCAGGACAUGAGCACGGGGGAUGACUCCAUAGACACGGCUACUUGGGACAAACUGGGCCUCAAGGACAAGGAUGGGCAGGCUGCGCCUCCGGUGGCGGGCGCGGCUCAGGAACGGGAGGUGCGCCAAGUGGUGGUGAGCAGCAAUGAGACGGGUUUCAACCAGUACGGAUCCAACAUGACCAUGAGCCUCGACAUCGACAAGGGCGUCUCGGCGUCCUGUGACUCGGAGGGCCGCUCGACGCUGGUCUCCCCGGCGGUUGCGCUGGUGGACGCGUCUGGGGCUGUGGCAAGCCCUCCCAAGGUGGUGACCGGCAGUGGCGGCGGCGUGUUGAAGCCUCAGAAGAAGACGGCGGGCCGCAAACCACCUGUGGUGGCGCCAGCGGGCACCCCCGAGGUCCGGGCGAGCGUGUCGGUCCGGAGGCCGGUGGUGAUGGCACUGGCCUCUCCAGGGAGGCUGGCAGGGGACACCCCAUCGGUCAUCUCCCCCCCACCUCCGGACGCUCUUCGGGUGGAGGUGGCCAAGGUGGCGCCCAUCCCCACGGCCAGGCGGUCCAAGGCGGUGGCGUCCCCGGCGACUCAAGAGAGGACGAGCUCCCGUCCGAAGGGUGCCAAGGGCAACAUGCCGUCCCUCCAGCGGGCCCAGCUACUCCAGGCGCAAAAGAACCUCGAAAUCGAAGGUAACCCCAUGCCCCUCUUUACGAUUUUUGAAGAUUAUACAGAUGAGUGCUUGGGGGGUAUCUUAGCGGAUAGUGGCGUCGCGAUGGCUGAUGCGGGGGAAGCGCAAGAGGUGUUGUCUCUCAUUCGUGCGAAGGAAAUCACGUAG
rnacentral:rRNA from 1 species